AUGCUCAAGUCGAAGAACUCCUUCGCAAGGGGAUCAUACAGAAAAGCAGUAGCUCUUUUUGCUCCCCAGCCAUCCUUGUCAAGAAGAAGGACGGGACGUGGAGACUCUACAUCGACUACAGACACCUCAACGCCAUCACCUACAUCACCAAGUACCCUGUGCCUAUCAUCGAAGAGUUGCUGGACGAGUUGCACGGUGCAGCCUGGUUCUCCAAGUUGGAUCUUCGCCCAGGCUAUCACAAAAUCCGCUUGGCAGAAGGUGAAGAGCAUAAAACAGCGUUCCAGACGCACUCAGGCCACUAUGAAUUCUUUGUGGUGUCUUUCGGGCUAG
rnacentral:rRNA from 1 species